rnacentral:lncRNA from 1 species
GCUGCUGUCAGUGAGGGCCCGUAAUGGAGAUCGAGUCAAGGGUUGCCCAGGGACACUUAAGAGCCUUCGGCUUCAAGGAGGCCUCUCAAAGGACAAAGGAUGAGACUGCCUGGCGGCAGAGUGCCCCCCACAAUCGUAGGAACUGUGUCGCCGCGCUUCCCGUUAACUUGCCGCUAAGUUUUUCUAGAAAAGUCGCCCUUCUUGCCAGGGGUGUCCUAUAGACUUUGUCAUGGAGUGAAACAGAAACAAAUAAUUUAUAUCAAAUACAGAUUAAUUUGAAAAUUUGACAUUUGGAGAUAAUCUCAGUGACUAAAAAGAAUAAAACAGGCAUGGGACACUUGCAAGGAGGAACAGAAACAAAAUUUUAAAACCCUCUCAUUACUUAACCUACAGCAAAGAUGAAUUUAUAAGCAUCUCAUUUAA